rnacentral:rRNA from 1 species
UGGGGAAUAUUGCACAAUGGGCGCAAGCCUGAUGCAGCCAUGCCGCGUGUAUGAAGAAGGCCUUCGGGUUGUAAAGUACUUUCAGCGGGGAGGAAGGGAGUAAAGUUAAUACCUUUGCUCAUUGACGUUGCCCGCAGAAGAAGCACCGGCUAACUCCGUGCCAGCAGCCGCGGUAAUACGGAGGGUGCAAGCGUUAAUCGGAAUUACUGGGCGUAAAGCGCACGCAGGCGGUUUGUUAAGUCAGAUGUGAAAUCCCCGGGCUCAACCUGGGAACUGCAUCUGAUACUGGCAAGCUUGAGUCUCGUAGAGGGGGGUAGAAUUCCAGGUGUAGCGGUGAAAUGCGUAGAGAUCUGGAGGAAUACCGGUGGCGAAGGCGGCCCCCUGGACGAAGACUGACGCUCAGGUGCGAAAGCGUGGGGAGCAAACAGG